UCUCAAGUUAUGCAUUAAGAAUCCCAUGGCAGUUUUUCGAAAGAGGAUGACCUCAGUGUCUCAGUGAAAAUUCCCUCUCUAGGAGAGUUACUGCUGUGUAUUCAAUGACUGCUGAAUUUGCCUACAGUUUUUCUAGGCACAGAGGAUACAAAGAUGAAAAUGAAGCAGUUUGUGCCCUCAAAAAGCAUUCUACAGGAGAAAAAAUAGAUAUAAAGCAAGCCCAAGGUAAUUGGAAAUUCGGAUAGGGACAAUUGGCAGCUGUCCUGGGAUCAGGAAAGGCCUCAGUAGGAAACUGAGUCCCAAGAAAUAUUAUGUGACUUCAUCAAGAGGCUAGAGGAUAACUCAAGGAAGGCCCUCAAGAUGUCAUGUAGAUCUUCUAUAGUAAUUUAGAGGCAAACAUGGAUGAAUAUCACACAAAAUGGGGAAGCAUGGAGGUUCCAACCUACAUUAUUAUAAAGAAUACCCACAUUGAUGAGACAGAUGACAAGUCCAUUGCUUUAUAGGAGUAUAUGCUGUUAUAUGUAAUUAUAUAUGUUUUUAAAAUAUCUGCUUUGUUAAAAAGUCAAAAUCAAGGACCUGGGUAUUACCAUUUCUUCCAUCUUAAUUAUGUAGUGUAGGCAGCUAGAUGGUUGAGUGAAUAGAGCUCUGGGUCUGGAAUAAGAAAGACAUCUUUCUGAGUUCAAAUCUGGCCUCAGACACUUAUAAGCUGAGUUAUAUUCAGCAAGUCACUUAACCCUGUUUGCCUUAGUUUCCUCAUCUAUAAGAUGAGUUGGAAAAGGAAAUAGAAAACCAUUCUAGUAUCUUUGCCAUGAAAAUCCCAAAUGGAUUCACAUAGAGUCAGGACUGACUGAAAUGACCAAAUAACAACAAAAAAUACACAGUAUACACUUAUUAGAGAGAUCUAUUAUCAAAAAUUGUUAAAUAAAUUCUGUAACAGAGAUCCCCUACCAUCUGAAUAGCAGACCAGAAUAACAAAUAUUUACUGUGAGCUUCUAAAGGGAGUUAUUAGCUCACAUGCCACUAUUUCAUAGACAUGAACAUUUCUAAAUCAAUAAAGACUCUCAGAGAUCAUUUAUAUAACCACCUCAUUUGACAGAUAAGAAAACUAAGACAUAGAAAGGCUCAAAAUUAUAUGACUAAUUAGUAGCAGAGACUAAAAGAAACAGUCUCCUGACAUAGUCUCACUCAGUGAUUCAAUAAUCAUUUAUUAAUCUCCUACUAUGUGAUAGACACUGUGCUAAGCAGGCAACAUAGCGUUGCUACUAGAGAUGUUAACAGGAGAUGUCAUAGUAGGAUUAUUCAAAUUGGAAACAUUAUGGAUCCAAGGAGGAAAAAAAGAGGUAGUCUUAAAUCUUCUUAUCUACACUUCAGUGAUUAUACUUUCCCUCCUGAAGAAUGGAGGGUCUGAAUAUUAUGUCUAAAGAUUCAUAACUAAGGUAUGCUUUCUUGUGAGUACUAAAUACAUAGGGUUUACUCUAAGCUUCAGUGACUGAAUAUUAGGAGGACAUAACAGCAUCAUCUUGCUUAAUUUAAGCUAACAAUAGGCUUGAGAAGUUCAUAAAUCCAAUUUACCAAACAUUUAAAUGCUAGGGAUAGAGAUAGAGAAUAGGGACUAAAUCUAUAAUUUCACUGACAUAGGAAAUGACUAGAUGGGGAAACAUUCAUCUAUCAUUGCAGGUCGAUGCCUUCUCUGUAUAGGUAGAAAUUUUCUUGGAGCACUAAGAGAUUAAUUGAAAAGUAGCUGAAUCUGUGCCUCAGUUUUCUCAUCUGUCAAGUACAAUGCAUUAUUGACAUAUGUGGAAUAAUGUAGCCAGUAUGUGUCAGAGGUGGGACACUGUUCAAAUUCUUUGUUGAGGGAACAAAGAUGAAAAAUGGCAUAACACUUACCCUCAGUGAGUUUAUAAUUUAAUAAUAUAAUAUAAUAAUAUAAAUAAUGAACAUUUAUUUCAAAGCUUCAAUGGAUUCAUGAUCUCAUUAAUGUAUAUAUUCCCUGUAAUUCAAUAGAUCACAGCUCAUCAACACCUCAUUAUAUGUGAUAGUUGUCUAUGUUCAUCCAUUCACUAAUCAAUAAGAUUUAUCCAAUACUUACUGUGUGCCAGGUACCAGAAAUACAAAGAAAAAAACUGAAACAAUUUCUUGUCCUGGAUUUUAUAUCCAAGCAAAAGGAUACCAUACAUAUUUAAGUACUUUUAAAAAAAGCUUAAUGACUUGGGGUGGAGGAGGUACUAUCACGGGAGCUGGGCGGAAUUGAAACAGAUUUAUCUUGUAUACUGGAUGUCUUCCUAUGGGGUUUUUAACAUUUCCACAGAUUCUAGAGCAGCAUGUUGGCUGUUACUUCUUGUUCUAUUUCCAAUGAUGCCUUUCCCAGAAAAUUUAUUUUUUCAUUUGAUUUUUUCAAUUGGAAAACAUUUAUUUUCUUUCUCUCUCACCCACCCCACCCCUGAAUAUAAAAUGUAUAAUGUAUUGAAUAUUGAAUAUAACCCAAAUAAAACAAAACCUUUUUUAAUAACUAUCCAGAGUCAAGCAAAACAAAUCUUCACAUUGGAUAUGUCCAAUCAAGAUAUGUCUCAUUGGCAAUCAUAAAUCCAUCACCCUUGUCAGGAGAAAAAUCUCAUGUUCUGUCAUUGCUCCCCUCGAAUCAUGGAUAACCAUUGUAUUCAUCAGAGUUCUGAAGUCUUUUAAAAUUGUGUGUCUUUACAAUAUUUUUAUUAUUGUGUUAAUUAUUUUCUUGUUUCUUUUCAAAUCAGUUCAUAUAUGUCUGCCAAGGUAUCUCUGAAACCCUCUUUUAUCACUUCUUACAGUAGGAUGGUUCUAACACAUUUAUUUACCAUAAUUUGUUCAGUCAUUCUUCAAUUAAAUGGUACUUCCUAUAGUUUCUAGUCCUUUGUUACUCCAAAAAAGAGCCAUGAUACAUUUGGACUUCU